rnacentral:lncRNA from 1 species
CUGUGCCCACCUGUAAAAGGAUGCUAGGAUGGGUGUGAGACCACAAAGGCAAAAGAUAGAAUGUUCCAAAAGGAGAGCAAAACCUCCUUGAAAGCAAAGAGAGGGAGAGAAAAAUACACUGCGGGAUGAUGUGUACGUAAGUGCGUGAGAUUCCAAAGGGCAUUUCACAAGACUUAGCGUGCAAAUAAUAGCGACCUUAGGCUGAUGCGUUCUUGGUCUCGGAGUCUUUGGCUCUCUAGCAUCCAAGCCCACAACAAGAACAAGAAAAGCUAGUUCAGAGCCAGAAGAACUUCUGGGUGGCUGGUCUCUUCACUGAGGUAUUUAACUAUACCUGUGAUCUUUUAGUUUCUUUAGAUGGACAUGUCUAUGGAGUUAGUUUUCAUCUUCUUCCUUCCUUUUUCUCCUUUAGUGGUUUUUGAUGGAAAAUGCACCAAAAGCAAAGCAUUCUGUGUGGUGAAUUGCUAUGAAUCAAGGAAAUUUAAGUAGGAUAAUCUAGGUUCAUUUUGAUGAAAGCUCGCAAGCCUUGGGGUUCUUAUAGAUGUAAUAGGGGCCCAUCAUGCUUGCCAGUAACUAAAGCCAGACUCAAAUGACUCAUAAAUGCAGAAGAAGUAGAAGAAGAUGGAUCCAUAGGAAUUGUUAGAAACAAGCAGAUUGUUAAGCAUGUCUGGCCAGUCUCGAAAUUAUAUUCUAAAAAUAGUGCCUCAGGGAUUUUAUUUUUACUCCUUGUAUUAAACUUC